CCAUUUUGUGUAGAAUUGCUCGCCAAUACAUUCUUCAGAAACCGGAAUAAGGAAAAGUCGACGAUACAGCGGCAUUGGAAAGGGACUGACAAAAGCACUUUCUGGCGUGAAUUUUGUCAGCUGCUGUUCUAAAGCGGAAAAAUCGAUAUAUUUUUUUCUUUUGGCGGUACUACCGAUAGUAAAUUUGAUCCGAGUCGGACGAGACGUUAGCUAACGUUAGCACUUGAGGGGCUGACUUCGCUAGCUAGCUGUCUGACGUUCAGGCUAGCUAGCUGGGUUAGCUAGCGAGUUUAGAUUCCAACUUGGCGAUCUUGACAGUUUAAUUUUCAUAUAUCCGUGUCAGAAGAGUCUCGAAGUUAAAAGGCGCUGCUUUUUAAAACUAUCCCACGGAUGUCACUUAAUUCUAAUUGAAGACAGCUACUGUAGCUAACUUACUACUUAAGAUAGCUUCGAUAACUCAGUUGCUAGUAUUCUGCAACUAACGUUAGCUAACUAGCUAGUAAUACAGCUUUAACAGUUUGUCAUAGCAGACAAGUUAGUCAGCAAGCUGGAAAAGUAACCUUCAUGUUAAUUUAAUCUACUCUAUAUACUUGUACCGGCUGGCUGGCUAGUUAACCAUCCAUCUACAUUGCAGUAUAACUUCAUGGAGUUUAGCUCGUAACGUAAACUCACUUCUCGUAGCUAGCUUAGUUAACUAAUUGCCUUUAAAGCGUAUCGUGCUGGCCAGCUCCAACACGCUAAACGCGCUCCUUCAAGUUACUGGUUAUGGUUGAGUUUUAGAGCUAGAUAUCUAGCUAGCUGAUGUCUGGGCAGUCUUUUGGCCAAGAAAUAAGCGAGCGGUUAACCAAUGUUCACCGAAAUACAGACAGUGUGUCAAACUAUAAUAGUUUGUAGCUGAUAAAAGCGACUGUUUUGUUUAACCUCGCUCUAAUGCUGAUUUUUCCUGGCGUACGUAGAUAGCUAGCGUUAGCUAAUAUUUUUCUCAGUAUCUUCAGAUCUGGGUUGAGGGACACCUAGCUAGCUAUGUCAUUUUGCAACAUUCCUAUAUGCUUAGAUUUCAGUGUUAGGACAUGUACGUGGAUUGAGUGCUGUUAUGGUUAUAUUAGCUAACAGAAGCUAAGUUAUUCAGUUAGCCGGUUGCAAUUUAACCAGUUCUGACAAUACUUGUACUAGCUAGAAUAUUUUUUUUUGUUAUGAAACACCAGUCAAGGUUUUCAUCGCGCGUAUAAACAAAUACCGGUGUAAUUGGUUGCCUACUCAGUCAGAUAGCUAGCAAGCUAGAUUAUUACGUUUUAAUAAAUCGGUCACAUCAACUGAUCAGAUAUUUUUUUAUAAAUCAUCUUAUUCGUUAGCUUGCAAGCUAAAUACGUUGUUAAAAUUAUUUAAUCUGAUUGGUAAUUAGUUCAUUGUCGUGGCUUGAAGCCGAAGAAAAAAUGUCAGGACAGUCCAUCACAGAUCGGAUCGCGGCGGCUCAGCACAGCAUGACUGGAUCCGCUAUCGGCAAAGCCGUUUGCAAAGCCACAACGCACGAAGUCAGCGGACCCAAAAAAAAACAUCUGGACUACCUGAUCCAUUGCACCAAUGAGAUGAACGUAAAUGUGCCUCAGCUGGCUGAUACUCUGUUUGAGCGCACAGCUAACAGCAGCUGGGUCGUGGUCUUCAAGGCCCUCAUUACCACACACCACCUAAUGAUGUAUGGCAACGAGCGUUUCAUUCAGUACCUGGCCUCGAGGAAUACUCUCUUCAAUCUAAACAACUUCGUUGAUAAAGGUGCAUUGCAAGGUUAUGACAUGUCCACCUUUAUCAGGCGCUACAGCCGGUACUUGAACGAGAAGGCUCUGUCCUACAGGCUAGUGGCCGUGGACUUUACCAAGAUGAAGAGAGGUGUUGAUGGAGUGAUGCGCACCAUGAACACAGAGAAGCUGAUCAAAACGCUGCCCAUUAUUCAGAACCAGCUGGACGCUCUGCUUGAUUUCCAGGCUAACCCUAAUGAGCUUACCAAUGGCGUGAUCAAUGCUGCCUUCAUGCUGCUCUUCAAAGAUUCCAUCCGUCUGUUUGCUGCCUACAAUGAAGGGGUCAUCAACCUUCUGGAGAAAUAUUUUGAUAUGAAGAAGAACCAGUGCAAAGAUGCUUUGGACAUCUACAAGAAGUUCCUGUACAGGAUGACAAAGCUGUCAGAGUUUCUCAAAGUAGCAGAGCAAGUUGGGAUUGAUCAGGGUGACAUCCCAGAUCUCACUCAGGCUCCCAGCAGCCUGCUGGAGGCGUUGGAGCAGCACCUGGCCUCCUUAGAGGGCAAGAAGACCAAGGAGUUCUCCGCAGACAGCAGAGCCACCACACUCUCCAGCGCCGUGUCAUCUCUCUCCAGCACUGGAAUGUCCUUCAGCCGUGUGGAUGAGAGAGAGCGGCAGCAGGCCCUGGAGGAGGAGCAGGCCAGGCUGCAGGCGCUCAAGGACCAGCGCCUAAAGGAGAUGAACGUGCAGACUCCCACUGCAUCUCCUGCAGCUCUCCCUGUCAGCAGUGCCACCAACCACAGCGUGGUGCUUGACCCCUUUACCAACCACACCACCACUGCCGCCCCUGCCAGCAACAGCAUGGCCCACCUCGCCAGCGACCUGUUUGACGUGCAGCCAGCUUUCAUCCCUGCCAUGCAGAGCGCCCCCUCCAUAUCCACAGCCACCAGUGCCUGGGGAGGUCUGGAGAGUGGUGCUCCUCAGCAGGCAGCUCAUAUACCUGCUAUGAAUGUAGAUUUUGAUGCUGUGUUUGGGUCUCAGGCUGCCAGUACUGAUGUGAAACCAGCUGCGGGGUUUGAUGUGUUGGGAGACUUGUUGAAGCCCACGCUCCCAGCCCAUAGUCAGGGUCCUGUGAUGGCCCCUCCCACAGGAGGCAAACUGCUGGCUAACGACCUGGACUCCUCCCUGGCCAACCUUGUCGGCAAUCUGCACUUUGGAGGAUCAGCAGUCAAAAAGCCAGAUAUGCAGUGGACACAGCCUGGGGAGAAGAAGCUGACUGGUGGCUCUAACUGGCAGUCCAAAACCAUGAGCAGCACGACUGCCUGGAGCCCUGCACCCAUGCCGCCAGCCCCCAUGCCUGUGCCACACAUGCAGAGUGGAAUGUUCUAUACUGGUUAUACCCCGGCCCCCAUGGCUUUCCCCAUGACCACACCACAAGUGCCUGUGUAUGGGAUGGUAAGUACCAAACCCCUGAUCUACACACUUCAUAAGACAAUUGAACUGUUUGACUGUUUGACUGUUUGUGCGCAUCUGUGUGUGUCAGGUUCCGCCUCAGAUGGGUCAAAUGGGAGGCGUUCCAGUGAUGACCCCACAGCCUGUGCUGUAUAACCAGCCAGUCCUCAGACCCACCAACCCAUUUGCUCCAAUUCCAGGAGCUCAGAUGCAGUUUAUGUAGGACUGAGCAGAGGAGUGCCAAACUGGACAGCAAAAACCCCCAGCAAGCUAGAGAUCCGCAACACAGCCACCACCCAAAUCAGGGAGCCGAGGAGGGGGGCGGCGAAAGAAAGAGAGAGAGAAAGAAACGUAGAGGAGGAAGACAGGAGGAGCAUGAGUGUAUUGUGGUCACGACUGCUUACCUCAUCAUCUGAAAUGGCUCUCACCCACGAUCACAGGAUGUUAACAUAGCUUGUUAACAUGACCUAUUUUUAUUUUUUAUCCUGAUCAUUUAUUAUUUUUCCUUUUUUUUUUUUUCUCUUUUUUUUUUUUUUUUUUAAUAUAUACAUUUUUAAAAUUCUGUUUGAAUCAUUUUUGUCUUCAGAUUCUAAUGUCAAGGAAGGUUCUAUUUUGACGUGCUUGGCGAGGGAUAACUCCAGUUUGUCCUGUCUUUUGUAAACCAUGCUCAGAGGCAGCUUGGUGCGGGUGUCCAGCCAGCCUCAGCUGGGCUGCUCUGGCUUGCUCCUGUCGCACCACGCACGUCGCCUCACCCAUGCCACAGCUGCUCACCGACGAGUCCCCUAUGCGGCGCUUUGCUUUCUCUUUUUCGCAUAGGGCCCUAGUGUCAGUAGCUCUGGCUUUCGCCUCCUCCCACCGCUCGGGCGGCUUCGAAAAGUGCUUCUUUGUAAUCCGCACGUUUGCAGUUUUGCUCGCUGCCUGCGUGUGCUAUCAGGCAGAGAAGUGCGAUCUGGAGUGUGCCUGUACGACCUGGCAGCCAGUCCAGCUCUCAGUGCUUUGCCACAGCCACUAAAGCCCCAGCCAGGUCACAGCUGUUAAGCACAUUCUUUCUGCUUUUUGGGUUUGGUUUAUUUGCAUUCUAGUUGUUUUUAUGAUUUUGAAAGCAAUAUUUUUUUUAAAAUGCCACUAUGCGGUGAAGCACAGCUCCUCUCUGCUUUCAUUUAAAUUGCCAGAUUAACAGGAGGUGUGAUUUCAUUUCUGGAUGAACAUAUGCCGCCUCAUUCGCACUCCCUCAACUACAGCACACAGACAUUAAAACACUCUGGCCCUGGGGAAUGUAAAGAGGAGUUUCUGCCAGUGUUGCUAACUGAAAUAACUGGCAAAAAACAUGCCAUGCUUUCUCCCAUUUCUUUCUUUUUUUAUUCCUGCUUGGAUAGUGCAAAACAUUCACAAAGUGUGAGUAUCGUCAUGCAAGCUGCGGCAGAGAAGCCGAUAAGGAGCAGGUCCCUGACGUGCUCGUGAAAGUCUCUCCCCAAAGCCACUUUCCUCCCUCUUCGGGCUUUGGGACAGUGUGCAGGGCGGUGCGCUCGCUGGGCUCACGCCUCCCCGUCCACCUCCACCGUGGCUGCCUCCAUUCUGGCACUCUUAACACUCUGACGCUUCAUUGACUUCCUGAUGCUCCUUCAUUCACGUCCCUGGAGGAGGGGAGGGGAGGGGAAGAAGCGGGGUUUCUCAGGACCGCACGGCUCUGCACAGGGUAACGUCAAACCCACACAUGCAAAUGGUGCGUGUGUGUGUGGGAGCCAGAGCGAGACCGCCCGCACACGGACAGUCAGGCUGAGUGCUGAUCACUCAAUGACCAGGCUGCUGGGGGGUAGCCAUUUCAUUGUUGGCUUUAUUUUAUUGUGGUGGUUUUGCUGGUCUACCUAAAUACAUGGACACACGAAUGCACCAGACUGCAGCCCAGUACACAGCAGAGGGAAGGGGCAUGACUGUUAAGAUGGCUCCACUGUGCAGUGCUCAUUAACGCAGAGUGCCUCUGUUCCUCAUGGAGGGCCAUGGACAGAGGAGAGGAGUGGGGACUACAGGAGGGGUUGUGUGUAAGUGCGCGCUGAGUUUUCCCCUCUGGAGCAAACCUACGACAGCCCUCAGUCAGCCUCCCUGCAGACCACCUUCACUUCUCACUGUGGAAGGGUGGGUGGGUGUUUCAGGUAUGUUGGUGUUGCUUCCUAAAUGUGGUGCAACACCAAGUGUCGAAAGGGCCAGGGAGAGACAAGCCUGCAGCAGUGGACUGUUCUUCCUGCUGUUUAUAGUGCAUGUGGAUGGAGGAAUUGCAGAGCUUUCUGUGCAGUCUGCUGAGGGCUUUAGCAGGCUUGUAUGUUCCAGCCUGUGUGUAUACACAUGCUUGUGAAUAUAGGUUUCCAUGGUGAUCUUCAGAGCUUUCAGGACUCCCCUGAUUAGUUUUUCUUUCUUUCUUAAUCAGGGUGCCUUUUGGCACAGAGGGCGAUGAGCAUGGUGCUUCGUGUUCUCCUGUUGGUCUCUUUGUUUUUGCAGCAUGGGUAGAUGUCUGGCUCUCUUACUCCUUUGCUCUUUUCUCUGCUCUCGUUUUUGCAUGGAGUCGGAGCAGUCGUGCCGGUAUCAUGGGCAUAGUAACGUGUGCUUGCUGGUUUUGUCAGGAGAAGGAACCCUGGUAGCUUGGCUGUUUCCUAUGUGUGGGUGCAUGGUCCGUGUUGGGUUGAUGGGUUUGUUUUUCUUUUUGUGUGUGUGUGUUGACUCGUCUCAUUAUCACGUUUGUGAUGACAGGCCAAAGGUCAAAGGUAAUGGCAGUAAAGUCUGAAAAAAAAUUUUUUUGCAAAGUACCUUUUACCAACCAGCUUAUGUCAUGAGAGACAAGAUGUCAUUAAGAUUUAGCAGAACUUGCCAUAUCAUGUAGCUAUUUUUUUAUAAAGUACUUGUUAUAGCACUUCUUACACUUUUGUUACUGUGGUUCCCACUAGUGGUGACUAUCAGCAGUCUCACCACAUAUUUGUUGGUCAUAGCAAGUUGUUUGGAUUUAGGCUUAUGCUCACUGCUUACAUGAUAAACAUUUUAGCAAUGGUCUGUUCAUUAGGUAUUUGAGUUUUUCUAAUGGAUCAAGUUUUACUCUUCUUGGACCUACACAUACACAACCCUGAAAGUGGGUUAUAAUUGAAAUUGAGCAGAUUUUCUCUCUUGCUCUCUCUUCCUCUCACCCCUGCCCCUUGUAAGACUUGGCUAUGGGCUGAUGCAGUAGCUGUUGGCAGAGUUCCUCCAAACCUUGGUUGUGAAAUCCCGCUUUCACCCUGAACUCAGUGCUAGGCCUGCAGCCCAGAGGCUACAGCCAAGAGCCUGACAGCCGCCAGAGCCGCUCAUCUGCUGUGGGCACUCUGCUUCCAGAAAGCCCCCCCACGCCUCUGCCUCUCAGCCGCUCAGCCUCUGGAAUCCUCAGCUGCACUGGAGAACUCUAUAAGUAGAGUUCUGUUACAAUCGAAUUCACGGUGUCUGGGAAGCUGAACCGCAUGUGGGUCUUCAUGGGUCUCACUGUGUGUUCGUGCUCUGGAGCGAAGGCUAGAGGCCUCUUUUGUGGAAAUGUACAGAUACACAGGGACCUUCUCACCUCAGUCAUCAGGGAAUAACCUUGGGGGUAGUGGGGCUAUCAUUUUUGUCUAACUUUUUAUUUUUUAAUCUUAUGUGGUUUUUGGGCAUUUUUCAAUUGCUGCCUCGCAUAUUAUGUAUAUACCCAUCUUCUGCAAUGUAUUGUUUUAUUCCUUUUUUAAUUUGCCUUUUGUUUUCUAAGCUAGAGAUAUUUGCAUUAUAUAUAUGGCUAUAUACACAAAAGAAACACUCAUCUGUAUGUGUUGGCCCUGGGGUGGGAGGCCUGUUUUUACAGGUUCAUCAAUGCCAAACGAGAAGAGGAGAAAACACCAUCCAAAUGUUUGUGGAGUACCCCUUUGUAUAUUUUAUUUAUUUAUGCAGAAUAUAAGGAUUUUAAUAAGCAUGGUAAAUACAUAUCACACCAAAUCAUGGGCUUUUUGUUUUAUUUCAUUCUUUUCUGUUUUUAUCAGAUGAAAUAAAAUAAUUUUGCUUUCCUAAA